rnacentral:rRNA from 1 species
CGGGGGAGCAAGCGUUGUUCGGAUUACUGGGCGUAAAGGGCGCGUAGGCGGCCACCGCAAGUCGACUGUGAAAUCUCUGGGCUUAACCCAGAAAGGUCAGCCGAUACUGCGGGGCUAGAGUGCAGAAGGGGCAACUGGAAUUCUCGGUGUAGCGGUGAAAUGCGUAGAUAUCGAGAGGAACACCUGCGGCGAAGGCGGGUUGCUGGGCUGACACUGACGCUGAAGCGCGAAAGCUAGGGGAGCGAACGGGAUUAGAUACCCCGGUAGUCCUAGCCUUAAACGAUGAAUGCUUGGUGUCUGGGGUUUUAUAGUCCCCGGGUGCCGUCGCUAACGCUUUAAGCAUUCCGCCUGGGGAGUACGGUCGCAAGACUG